rnacentral:rRNA from 1 species
AGCAGCCGCGGUAAUUCCAGCUCCAAUAGCGUAUAUUAAAGUUGUUGCAGUUAAAAAGCUCGUAGUUGAAUUUCGGGGUCAGCAGGUUGGUCGUGCCAAUGGUAUGCACUGGCCUUGCUGAUUCCUCCCUCUUGAUGAGCCGUAAUGCCAUUAAUUUGGUGUUGCGGGGAAUCAGGACUGUUACUUUAGAAAAAUUAGAGUGUUUAAAGCAGGCAAGCGCUUGAAUACAUUAGCAUGGAAUAAUGAAAUAGGACGUUUGAUCCUAUUUUGUUGGUUUCUAGGAUUGACGUAAUGAUUAAUAGGGAUAGUUGGGGGCAUUAGUAUUCAAUUGUCAGAGGUGAAAUUCUUGGAUUUAUUGAAGACUAACUACUGCGAAAGCAUUUGCCAAGGAUGUUUUCAUUAAUCAAGAACGAAAGUUAGGGGAUCGAAGACGAUCAGAUACCGUCGUAGUCUUAACCAUAAACUAUGCCGACUAGGGAUCGGAUGAUGUUAAUUUUAAUGA